rnacentral:rRNA from 1 species
UAGGGAAUCUUCCACAAUGGACGCAAGUCUGAUGGAGCAACGCCGCGUGAGUGAAGAAGGUUUUCGGAUCGUAAAGCUCUGUUGUUGGUGAAGAAGGAUAGAGGCAGUAACUGGUCUUUAUUUGACGGUAAUCAACCAGAAAGUCACGGCUAACUACGUGCCAGCAUCCGCGGUAAUACGUAGGUGGCAAUCGUUGUCCGGAUUUAUUGAGCGUAAAGCGAGCGCAGGCAGAAUGAUAAGUCUGAUGUGAAAGCCCACGGCUCAACCGUGGAACUGCAUCGGAAACUGUCAUUCUUGAGUGCAGAAGAGGAGAGUGGAAUUCCAUGUGUAGCGGUGGAAUGCGUAGAUAUAUGGAAGAACACCAGUGGCGAAGGCGGCUCUCUGGUCUGCAACUGACGCUGAGGCUCGAAAGCAUGGGUAGCGAACAGG